AGUUUGAUCAUGGCUCAGAACAACGCUGGCGGCAGGCCUAACACAUGCAAGUCGAGCGAACCCUUCGGGGUUAGCGGCGGACGGGUUAGUAACGCGUGGGAAUCUACCCAGUUCUGCGGAAUAACACAGGGAAACUUGUGCUAAUACCGCAUACGCCCUCCGGGGGAAAGAUUUAUCGGAAUUGGAUGAGCCCGCGUUAGAUUAGCUAGUUGGUGGGGUAAAGGCCUACCAAGGCGACGAUCUAUAGCUGGUCUGAGAGGGAUGAUCAGCCACACUGGGACUGAGACACGGCCCAGACUCCUACGGGAGGCAGCAGUGGGGAAUAUUGGACAAUGGGCGAAAGCCUGAUCCAGCCAUGCCGCGUGAGUGAUGAAGGCCUUAGGGUUGUAAAGCUCUUUCAGUGGGGAUGAUAAUGACAGUACCCACAGAAGAAGCCCCGGCUAACUUCGUG
rnacentral:rRNA from 1 species